AAUUCUGAUUCCAUAAAUCAAUUCGUUCCCCGUCUCUCAGUCUGUAUGGAUCGCUGGUGUCAUGGUCCCAAAAUUCACGAUCCUAACUAUUUGCUGCUUGUGUGCAGUGUAUGUUGCAAUUUAUAGUGUGUGUGAAGCAAAACGGAGUGGAAAUACUUGGCAACGCAAUUGUCAUGGGAAACCGAAUUCAGGAGUAUGCCUUGCAGCGUUCCGGCAUUUUUUCUACAAUGAGACUUCGAAAAAAUGUGAAAUGUUCGUGUAUGGAGGUUGUGGAGUGUAUCCGAACCACUUUAGGACGAGACAAGAAUGCGCGAGAUAUUGUUUAUAACAACAAUUGCAAUUUGAGCAUGGUAACUUUAUAGUGUCACAAUCUCAUAAUAAAGACUAGCAGAAAUUC